GCCGGGGGGCAGGGCUUGGCAAUGGGAAGCAUCACAAAGCAGCGUGGCCCCACCCCUGGAGCGCUCCCCUCCCCUCUCCUGUCCUGAGAUGCUGCUGCAGACUCACGUCUUCCUCCCCAAAGGUCCUGGGAGCCCAGCGAGGGAGCCCAGAGUGUCUACCAUUCACAGAGAGCCUUUCCAGAGCAGCAGGUGCGCCGAGGACGGGGACUCAGGCAUGCACCAGGCGACUACUCAAACACCUGGGAAAAUAAAACGUCGGAUUCGAAGCGCCUUUCUCCCAAACCGGCUCUGAGAUGUGCUGGCCUCUCCUCUCCAAGACUUGGGGAUGAGGGCUGCAAGUAGUCUGGGACCACCUUCAGGCUUUAUCGAUGUGUAGCCGACAUGCAGGAGCUGCUCAGGACUGAGCAGUGCGCACUUU
rnacentral:lncRNA from 10 species